rnacentral:rRNA from 1 species
UACGAAGGGGGCUAGCGUUGCUCGGAAUCACUGGGCGUAAAGCGCACGUAGGCCGGAGUUGCUAAAGUCAGGGGGUGAAAUCCUGGAGCUCAACUCCAGAACUGCCUUUGAUACUGGCAACCUUGAGUCCGGGAGAGGUGAGUGGAACUGCGAAGUGUAGAGGUGAAAUUCGUAGAUAUUGGGAAGAACACCGGUGGCGAAGGCGGCUCACUGGCUCGAUUACUGAGCUCGAGGCGCGAUAGCGUGGGGAUCAAACAGG